AACAUCGCGCACCUGCGGGAACCUGCGGAAGGAUCAUUAAUGGAGAUAGGAGGCACCGCGGCGCAGGGCCCUAUAGUGCGCUGCGUCAGUGGUGUCCCUUCCACCCGUGCUUACUGGACUUGUUGCCUCGGCGGGCCCGCUGGAAAACGGCCGCCGGUGGACCUCUGGUGCCACUCGGCCAGUGCCCGUCGGGGAGUCUUUGAAACGCUCCGGGAGACCUACCGUCUGAGUGUGGGAUUU
rnacentral:misc_RNA from 1 species